CCUCAAACCUUCCCUCUUAGUCUAGUCAACCAACUCCUCAAACCUUCCCUCUUCGUCAGGUCAACCAACUCCUCAAACCUUCCCUCUUAGUCUAGUCAACCAACUCCUCAAACCUUCCCUCUUAGUCUAGUCAACCAACUCCUCAAACCUUCCCUCUUAGUCUAGUCAACCAACUCCUCAAACCUUCCCUCUUAGUCUAGUCAACCAACUCCUCAAACCGUCCCUCUUAGUCUAGUCAACCAACUCCUCAAACCUUCCCUCUUAGUCUAGUCAACCAACUCCUCAAACCUCCCCUCAGUCUAGUCAACCAACACCUCAAACCUUUAAUGCUAGAGGAUCCUUUAAUGCUAGAGGAUCCUUUAAUGCUAGAGGAUCCUUUAAUGCUAGAGGAUCCUUUAAUGCUAGUACACAAUACCACUGUCAAAAUGUAUUUGUUAUUUUUGAAUAUUUUUAAAGCAAAUAAUCGCCUUAAAACCAUUUAAAACAAAUCAAACCUGUGCAACAGAUCAGCCCUAAAAUAUUCCAUAAUCAUACAUAUAUAAACCUGAUUUAAAAGAAAUAACAAUGAUAAUAUUAACACAGAAGGUAACACAAGCGAGGAUAUUAAACCCCUCCCAAAAGGACAACGACAAAGAAGCCUCAACAAAGCAGUGGCUUGAUGCUUCUCCCCCCCAAGUCCUCAAGUCCCCCACGACAGACCCAGUGUGCCCUCUCUGUCAGGGGCCUUGGGUUGGCCUGUAUGUGUCUUGCAGCCAGCCCACUUGAGACUUCUUCCAGUAACGUUAGCCAUCUGCCAGCAAGCCAGCCAGUCAAAACAGGCCAGCAGACCAGGCCCAGUGUCCCAGUCACACAAUAGGCAUCUGGCAGGGGACUAAAGCAGGCCUGUCCCAUGUUGCCUGGGGGUUGGAGGGUCCCCUGGGGGCAGGCAGGCAGGCCUGUGGUGGGGGCAGGCAGGCCUGUGGCCUGGGCAGAGAGGGAGGCCUGGGCAGAGAGGGUCGCCUGGUGAGGGGACAAACUAGAGGGAGGCAUGCUCCCCCAGCCAGCCACAUAGACCCCGGGGUGGAAGGGGUCUAGAGCUGAGAGGGGGAGGAGAGACAGGGGAUGGAAGGGUUCUAGAGCUGAGAGGAGGAGGAGAGAGAGGAAACAGAUAGGGGUGGAAGGGGUCUAGAGCUGAGGAGGAGGAGGAGAGAGAGGAAACAGAUAGGGGUGGAAGGGGUCUAGAGCUGAGAGGAGGAGGAGGGAGAGGAAACAGAUAGGGGUGGAAGGGGUCUAGAGCUGAGAGGAGGAGGAGAGAGA
ensembl:lncRNA